rnacentral:lncRNA from 1 species
GGGAGCUCCCCUGUGUAUAGUGAAUGAUUGUCGUUGAGUGACAACCUCCCUAAGUAUUAGGUGCCUAACCUGUAAAAUGGGGGUAGUAAUGGUAUUUAACCGGAAGGUGAAAAGCCGUGAAAUGUAAUUUCUCUCUGCUGCAUGGCAAAACUGUCUUCACAUAGACAACUGCGUCCCUCCAAGACCUACGCAAACUGAAUUUUAGCUCAUGCCUGUGUGUGCCUUCAAGGCUGAUCUCAAACACCUAGACUCAAACCAUCUUUUUGGUCUUUUGGUUACUACGCUCUCAAAGGAUAUGAAUCAAUUGAGAGACACAGUUUAAAGAGAAAUUUAGCAAAGUAAACACGCCAAAGAGAGGAGUGGAUUUUUUUUUAAAAGAUAUCUUUGUUGGGGAUUUAUUUUUUUUUCUUAAUGAAAAGGAGAAAAUGAAGGGACACCAUUUCAAAACGGGCUGUUCAAAUGAGUCAUGAGAUAUUUAUAGCUCCACAGGGUGUCUCACCAACACUGCACUCUCGUGUGGCAGAACCAGAAAGUGCAGCAGCAGGAGAAUAUUCAACAAAUGAAUAUUGAAAUAUCAUAUGCCGUGUCUGUCACAUGGAUGAAAUCUGAUGAUACUCAACGACGAGGAGAAGUCUAGGCAAACAGCAUCCUGCAGGGAUGAGGCCAAUGAUGGCUAUUCUUCCACCAGUUUCUUCCAUUGCUGUAGAUCAUCCUGGGCUCCAACUAAUUGGGUAACACAUACCACACCCAUCAAUCCCAAGAAGAGUGAAGGCUUUGUGCCCUGUGGUCUUCAAGUGCUUUAACGUCCAUGGCUGGGUCUUCAACUCUGCCUGCCUCCCUCUCUCCUCCUCUCUCUUCCUCUCUCCUCUCCCCCUCCCCCUCCCUCUUCUUCUUCCUCUUCCUCCCUCUCCCUCUUCCCUUUCCCUGCAACUACAUAGUGAGAAAGCAAGCAAUUUCAAUGGGAAAACUACUCCUAGAUGUAGCUACAGCCCAGCCUACCUGAGCUCUCAGCUGGCAGACAUCACCACCACCACCACCACCAUCUCAUGAGACUUUGGAAAUUUGUAAAUGAAUGACCAUCCAGGUGUCUGCAGCCCCACUCUCCAAGAGAAGAGUGAAGCUGAAUGGGGUGAGCAAAUGCAUUGUUAUGAAAAACUGCCAAGCCAUGGGCAGUUUGUUACCAGCACCAGAUGACUGCAACAGAGGCUGUACAGCCAGACUCCUGUCUUCAAAACUGGCCUGCAGGUGACCCCAUGUAUAUGAGAACCAGGGAGAGGAUUCGAAGACAAUAGAUCCCCCAUGGGGAGAGUUCAGACUGUAAUAUUUUGACCCUGUGUUUUGUACGUUGAACCUAGUAGGUACUUAAUACAUUUAUAUUUUGAGUGAAACAAAGAAGCCACUUGCAAUGACAAAUGGUACCCAAGUAGUAGAUGUUAGCAAGAAUAAAUCACAGAUAUGGGUGGAUUGAUGGCACUAAGGCUUCACUGGGUUCAAAGCCUUGAUAAGUGGGUGUUGCAGGUUCAGAUCUGAGCUAUUUUGCUCUGUUUAAUACCAAACACAACCAGGAGAUAGCUUAAUAGUAUAGUAUAGUAUAGUAUAGUAUAGUAUGGUAUGGUAUGGUAUGGUAUAUCUAUAUGUGGGAGUGGGGGUGGAGAUAGGUUUAAAAGCUGGAUGUGGAAGUUUUCAGAGAGAAUGCUGUCUUCUUGUAACAGAACAGGACCUUAGCUGUUGUGACAACCCCAGAAUGGGCAUUGGAUACACAGGGCAGGGUGGGAGGGUGGAGAAAGAUCAGAGAGACACUUCUGGUGGCCAGCUAACUAAACAGCUGAACCUUCAUAACAAAGAUGGAAAAGCAUAC